rnacentral:rRNA from 1 species
GCAACUCCAGGCCAGGCGGGAUCACCCGCUGAGUUUAAGAAUAUCAAUAAGUGGAGGAAAAGAAACUUACAAGGAUUCCCCUAGUAACGGCGAGCAAACCCGAAAUAGCCCAACUUGAGAAUCGGGCGGCCACGCCAUUCGAAUUGUAGUCUGGAGAAGCGUCCUCAGCGGCGGACCGGGGUCGAGUCCCCUGGAAUUGGGCGCCAUAGAGGGUGAGAGCCCUGUUGCUCCUAGACCUUGUCGCACCACGAGGCGCUGUCGGCGAGUUGGGUUGUUUGGGAAUGCAGCCCCAAUCGGGCGGUAAAUUCCGACCAAGGCUAAAUACGGGCGAGAGACCGAUAGCUAACAAGUACCACGAGAAAAAGAUGAAAAGGACUUUGAAAAGAGAGUCAAAGAGUGCUUGAAAUUGUUGGGAGGAAAAUGGAUGGGGGCUGGUGAUGUGUCCCGGUCAAAUGUGGAAUGGCGAGAGCCGAUUCGCCAAUCUACUCGGGGUGCGGACCAGCACGGAUCGAUGCGACGCUCAAAGCUCGGGCAGUUGAUAAGCUCGUUGUAUGGCGUUGCGUCGAUCCAGGCAGACAACGCGCGCCUCGUGCGUGCCUCAAUAACAGCGCAUUCCCGGUGCUGGCCUGCAGGCUCCCCAUUCGACCCGUCUUGAAACACAGACCAAGGAGUCUGACAUGUGCGCGAGUCAAUGGGUGAUUAAACUCGUAAGGUGCAAGGAAGCUGACCGGUGCGAUCCCCCCGAGGGGUGCACCGCCGACCGACAUUGAUCUUCUGAGAAGGGUUUGAGUAAGUGUACCUGUUGGGACCCGAAAGAUGGUGAACUAUGCCUGAGCGGGGCGAAGCCAAAAGAAACUAUGGUGGAGGCCCGCAGCGAUACUAACGUGCAAAUUAUUCGUCUGACUUGGGUAUAGGGGUGAAAGACUAAUCGAACCAUCUAGUAGCUGUUCCCUCUGAAGUUUUCCUCAGGAUAGUUGGAGCUCUAGUACGAGUUCUAUCUGGUAAAGCCAAUGAUUAGAGGCAUCGGAGGCGCAACGCCCUUGACCUAUUCUCAAACUUUAAAUAGGUAGGACGACGCGGUUGAUCUUAUGAGCUGCGCCGGAGAAUCGUGAGCUCCAAGUUGGCCAUUUUUGGUAAGCAGAACUGGGGAUGCAGGAUGAACCAGAAGCCAGGUUACGGUGCCCAACUGCGCGCUAACCUAGACCCCACAAAGGGUGUUGGUCGAUUAAGACAGCAGGACGGUGGUCAUGGAAGUCGAAAUCUGCUAAGGAAUGUGUAACAACUCACCUGCAGAAUCAACUAGCCCCGAAAAUGGAUGGCGCUGAAGCGCGCGACCUAUACCCAGUCGUCAGGGCAAGGGCCAUGCCCCGAUGAGUAGGAGGGCAUGGCGGUCACUGCAAAACCCUGGCGCGAGCCCGGGUGGAGAGGCCGUCGGUGUAGAUCUUGGUGGAAGUAGCAAAUAUUCAAAUGAGAACUUUGAAGGCUUAAGAGGGGAAAGGUUCCAUGUGAACGGCACUUGCACAUGGGUUAGUCGAUCCUAAGGUUCGGGGGAAGCACAAUAGACAGCGCAUUCAGUGUGUACUCCGAAAGGGAAUCAGGUUAAAAUUCCUGAACCGGCAUAUGGUGGUUGACGGUAACGUUGGGGAGUCCGGAGAUGUCGGCGGGGGCCAUGGGAAGAGUUAUCUUUUCUGUUUAAUAGCCCACCCACCCUGGAAAUGGCUCAGUUGGAGGUAGGGUCCAGUACCUGGAAGAGCACCGCACGUCGCAUGGUGUCUAGUGUGCCGCAUCAGGUCUCCAAGGUGAACAGCCUCUGGUCGAUGGAACAAUGUAGGCAAGGGAAGUCAGCAAAAUGGAUGCGUAACCUCAGGAAAAGGAUUGGCUCUGAGGGCUGGGCAUGGGGGUCCCAAUCCCGAACCCGUCAGCUGUUGGCGAACAGCUCAAGCUGCUCGCGCGGUGAGAGUGGGUCAUUGCUUGCUGGCCGGGGGACGGACUGGGAACGACUCCCUCGGGGGCCUUCCCGGGUGUCAAACAGCCAACUCAGAACUGGUACGGACAAGGGGAAUCCAACUAUUUAAUUAAAUCAAAGCAUUGGCAUGGUCCCUGCGGAUGCUCACGUAAUGUGAUUUCUGCUAGUGCUCUGAAUGUCAAAGUGAAAAAAUUCAACCAAGCAUGGGUAAACGACGGGAGUAACUAUGACUCUCUUAAGGUAGCCAAAUGCCUCGUCAUCUAAUUAGUGACAUGCAUGAAUAGAUUAACGAGAUUCCCACUGUCCCUGUCUACUAUCCAGCGAAACCACAACCAAGGGAACGGGCUUAGCAGAAUUAGUGGGGAAAGAAGACCCUGUUGAGCUUGACUCUAGUCCGACUUUGUGAAAUGACUUGAGAGGUGUAGGAUAAGUGGGAGCCGAAAGGCAAAAGUGAAAUACCACUACUUUUAAUGUUAUUUUACUUAUUCCGUGAAUCGGAGGCGGGGCAUCGCCCCUUUUUUUAGACCCAAGGCUCAGCCCGGCGGGCCGAUCCGGGCAGAAGACAUUGUUAGGUCGGGAGUUUGGCUGGGACGACACAUCUGUUAAAAGAUAACGCAGGUGUCCUAAGAUGAGCUCAACGAGAACAUAAAUCUCGUGUGGAAUAAAAGGUUAAAACUCGUUUGAUUCUGAUUUCCAGUGCGAAUAUGAACCAUGAAAGCAUGGCCUAACGAUCCUUUAGACCUUUGGAAUUUGAAGCUAGAGGUGUCAGAAAAAUUACCACAGGGAUAACUGGCUUGUGGCAGCCAAUCAUUCAUAGCGAUGUUGCUUUUUUAUCCUUCGAUGUCGGCUCUUCCUAUCAUUGUGAAGCAGAAUUCACCAAGUGUUGGAUUGUUCACCUACCAAUAUGGAACGUGAGCUGGGGUUAGACCAUUGUGAGAAAGUUAAUUUUACCCUACUGAUGAUGGUGUCGCUAUAGUAAUUCAACCUAGUACGAGAGGAACUGUUGAUUCGCACAAUUGGUCAUCGCGCUUUCUUGAAAAGCUAGUGGCGCGAAGCUACCGUGCGCUGGAUUAUGACUGAACGCCUCUAAGUCAGAAAAUGAACUAGACACGACGCAUGUGGCCACUGUCCUCUCCCCGACCUGCAGUAGGGCCCCCCGGGCCCCCAAGGACACGUGUCGUUGGCCAAGCCCCCGCAGCGGACGAGCUACGUGGGCUGCCUCAAAGUAUAAUUCUAAUCGAGAGGAGGUAGAAUCCUAUGCAGACGACUUAAAUAUGCAACCGGGUAUUAUAAGCUGCAGAGUGGCCUUGCUGCCAUGAUCCACUGAGAUUCA